GCGCGGCGAGGCGUGGUCGCGUGGCGGGAGCCCCGCGGUGGGGCCUUCGGCUCGCGUGGUGACGAGUGUCCCGACGCGCUCUGGAGGUCCGAGGCUGCUUCUCAGCCAGCCAGAGACUACUGCAGAAGAUGAGACGGAGGAGCCCGGCUUUGCCUCCUGCUCCUGGCCUGCAGCACCUUCUCCACCUGAGGCCACAAGGUGUAAUGUCGCCGCUGGAUGAUGUAAGGUCAAUACGUAGGGCCGAGUGAAAGACGCAGGCGGGAACAGAAGAGGACAGGCACUGCAGCACAGGUGGGUUUUUACAUCCCCAGCUGAACUCUAGUGGAAGGCAAUGAAAGCCUCUUUCCCACAGAGCUCCUUGAGUCGUGGAAACGGUGUAGUCUCCCUGACGGAAAGGAAAAAAUGCAAACGUAAGAGUGCACAAGAGUUCCACUUUCACGUUUGCCUCAUGAGUGCACGGAGUGUAGAGCUCAAUUCGGAAUCUGCAGCCUACCUUCGCCCUGACCUGCUGGGCCCCGCAUCUCUUCUGGGAAGAGAACUGCCUUCUGGCGGCCGUUGCUGUUCCUGUCCCGUUAAGACAUUUCCCCAUUAUGACGACAGCAAAAAAAAUCAAAAAGUCAGGUGUGAGACCCCCUCUGCGCCUUUUGUGAUGAACAGCAUGAUCAGCAGGGGUAGUAAUUGGGCAAUGUAAGCAAGCAGAAUCACUGCCAGUUUUCUGCUAAACUCAAAACUCGAGGGCAAAAGAGUGACGGGAGGUGCUUCUCUUGUGGCAGUUAUAAAAAUCCAAGAAUACCUCCUGGUGACAACAGAAGUCCUGUGGAGUUUCGGGGAAUAAGAUCAUGAACAUUAGGUUGAAAAUGGAAACCCAACAUUGCAGGUAUAUAAUGUUCAGUCUGACUGAAGAAUUUUGGGAGUUAACGUAUUGAUCCUUGUAUCUUCUACAUUAUUUUUCAAUGUAGAAUUAAUAAAAUAUAAUACA